rnacentral:rRNA from 1 species
AAAUUGAAGAGUUUGAUCAUGGCUCAGAUUGAACGCUGGCGGCAGGCCUAACACAUGCAAGUCGAACGGUAACAGGAAACAGCUUGCUGUUUCGCUGACGAGUGGCGGACGGGUGAGUAAUGUCUGGGAAACUGCCUGAUGGAGGGGGAUAACUACUGGAAACGGUAGCUAAUACCGCAUAACGUCGCAAGACCAAAGAGGGGGACCUUCGGGCCUCUUGCCAUCGGAUGUGCCCAGAUGGGAUUAGCUAGUAGGUGGGGUAACGGCUCACCUAGGCGACGAUCCCUAGCUGGUCUGAGAGGAUGACCAGCCACACUGGAACUGAGACACGGUCCAGACUCCUACGGGAGGCAGCAGUGGGGAAUAUUGCACAAUGGGCGCAAGCCUGAUGCAGCCAUGCCGCGUGUAUGAAGAAGGCCUUCGGGUUGUAAAGUACUUUCAGCGGGGAGGAAGGGAGUAAAGUUAAUACCUUUGCUCAUUGACGUUACCCGCAGAAGAAGCACCGGCUAACUCCGUGCCAGCAGCCGCGGUAAUACGGAGGGUGCAAGCGUUAAUCGGAAUUACUGGGCGUAAAGCGCACGCAGGCGGUUUGUUAAGUCAGAUGUGAAAUCCCGGCUCAACCUGGGAACUGCAUCUGAUACUGGCAAGCUUGAGUCUCGUAGAGGGGGGGUAGAAUUCCAGGUGUAGCGGUGAAAUGCGUAGAGAUCUGGAGGAAUACCGGUGGCGAAGGCGGCCCCCUGGACGAAGACUGACGCUCAGGUGCGAAAGCGUGGGGAGCAAACAGGAUUAGAUACCCUGGUAGUCCACGCCGUAAACGAUGUCGACUUGGAGGUUGUGCCCUUGAGGCGUGGCUUCCGGAGCUAACGCGUUAAGUCGACCGCCUGGGGAGUACGUACCGCAAGGUUAAAACUCAAAUGAAUUGACGGGGGCCCGCACAAGCGGUGGAGCAUGUGGUUUAAUUCGAUGCAACGCGAAGAACCUUACCUGGUCUUGACAUCCACGGAAGUUUUCAGAGAUGAGAAUGUGCCUUCGGGAACCGUGAGACAGGUGCUGCAUGGCUGUCGUCAGCUCGUGUUGUGAAAUGUUGGGUUAAGUCCCGCAACGAGCGUAACCCUUAUCCUUUGUUGCCAGCGGUCCGGCCGGGAACUCAAAGGAGACUGCCAGUGAUAAACUGGAGGAAGGUGGGGAUGACGUCAAGUCAUCAUGGCCCUUACGACCAGGGCUACACACGUGCUACAAUGGCGCAUACAAAGAGAAGCGACCUCGCGAGAGCAAGCGGACCUCAUAAAGUGCGUCGUAGUCCGGAUUGGAGUCUGCAACUCGACUCCAUGAAGUCGGAAUCGCUAGUAAUCGUGGAUCAGAAUGCCACGGUGAAUACGUUCCGGGCCUUGUACACACCGCCCGUCACACCAUGGGAGUGGGUUGCAAAAGAAGUAGGUAGCUUAACCUUCGGGAGGGCGCUUACCACUUUGUGAUUCAUGACUGGGGUGAAGUCGUAACAAGGUAACCGUAGGGGAACCUGCGGUUGGAUCACCUCCUUA